rnacentral:rRNA from 1 species
UACGUAGGGGGCAAGCGUUAUCCGGAUUUACUGGGUGUAAAGGGGGCGCAGACGGCGAUGCAAGCCAGGAGUGAAAGCCCGGGGCCCAACCCCGGGACUGCUCUUGGAACUGCGUGGCUGGAGUGCAGGAGGGGCAGGCGGAAUUCGUGGUGUAGCGGUGAAAUGCUUAGAUAUCACGAAGAACCCCGAUUGCGAAGGCAGCCUGCCGCAGCGUUACUGACGCUGAAGCUCGAAAGCGCGGGUAUCGAACAGG